GUACGGGGGGGGGCAAGCGUUUGUUCGGAAUUACUGGGCGUAAAGGGCUCGUAGGUGGCCAACUAAGUCAGACGUGAAAUCCCUCGGCUUAACCGGGGGAACUGCGUCUGAUACUGGAUGGCUUGAGAUUGGGAGAGGGAUGCAGAAUUCCAGGUGUAGCGGUGAAAUGCGUAGAUAUCUGGAGGAAUACCGGUGGCGAAGGCGGCAUCCUGGACCGACAUUGACGCUGAGGAGCGAAAGCUAGGGGAGCAAACGGG
rnacentral:rRNA from 1 species